UGCGGGCGUAGUAUAGCGGAAAUACGCGCAGCCUUACCAACUACGAAUCGCGUGUCCAACUCACGCCGCCCGCAUC
rnacentral:tRNA from 1 species